UGGGGCGUAGCCAAGUUUGGUAAGGCACGGGUCUUUGGAACCCGCAUUCGGAGGUUCGAGUCCUCCCGCCCCAG
rnacentral:tRNA from 1 species